CUGACCCACACAGCAGAGGGUUCCAAAACGGACCCUCUGCGGCGGACUCCGUGCGGAUUCGCACAUCGAACGCGCCCUUUCCAGUCCUAACGGCUCCUUCAGUUUUCAAAUUUCUCGUUGAUGAAGUGGAAGACGAAACAGCGGCGUCUGAAGGCUCACUGUCAUUCACAAGUGGCUCCAGUCUGGUUUGGGGGUUCUGCCAUCCAAGUAAAGUUAUUCACAAGUGGCUCCAGUCUGGUUUGGGGGUCUACGCUUUCUCAUCCUGUCCUGCCACCCAAGUGAAGUAAGCUAUACAGUUUUACAUUUGAUUUAUUUGACUUUUGGUCUAAACAUCAAUAAUAAAAAUAACUAUAU